GUGGGUGCCCAUAAUAACGGAGUCUUGCUUGGUUGGACAUAUAAUACAUUUGGCUUUGAAGAUGGUUCUGGCUUGGACCUCUAAAUUAGCAUAGAAUAUCCCCUGCCUGUUCGCCA